AUAUGGACAAGGACGAUGAAUUGAUAGAUUUGUUCACAUUUUUUAUUCAAUUAUUAUGGGGUAUCCUGCAGUGUAAAUGGAUGUGCAAUGUUUUCUGCAGGGACAGAUACAGUAGCUGUUACCAUGGAAUGGGCAAUGUCACUUCUGCUGAAUCAUCCAGAGAUAUUGCAGAAGGUAAGAGAAGAGAUUGAUAGUCAAGUUGGGCAUACGCGCUUCGUAGAGGAGUUGGAUCUUCCCAAGCUAAAAUAUCUCCGUUGCGUCAUCAAUGAGACGCUUCGGUUGUAUCCUGUUGUGCCACUCUUACUCCCACGUUGUCCAUCUGAAGACUGUACCGUGGCAGGA